rnacentral:rRNA from 1 species
UACGGGGGGGGGCAAGCGUUGUUCGGAAUUACUGGGCGUAAAGGGCUCGUAGGCGGCCAACUAAGUCAGACGUGAAAUCCCCAGGCUUAACCUGGGAACUGCGUCUGAUACUGGAUGGCUUGAAUCCGGGAGAGGGAUGCAGAAUUCCAGGUGUAGCGGUGAAAUGCGUAGAUAUCUGGAGGAAUACCGGUGGCGAAGGCGGCAUCCUGGACCGGCAUUGACGCUGAGGUGCGAAAGCGUGGGGGAGCGAACAGG